rnacentral:rRNA from 1 species
UACGUAGGGACCGAGCGUUGUCCGGAAUCAUUGGGCGUAAAGAGCGUGUAGGCGGCCCCUUAAGUCCUGCGUGAAAUCCUGCGGCUCAACCGCAGACGGUCGUGGGAAACUGGAGGGCUAGAGUGCGGGAGAGGAGAGUGGAAUUCCCGGUGUAGCGGUGAAAUGCGCAGAUAUCGGGAAGAACACCCGUGGCGAAGGCGGCUCUCUGGAACGCAACUGACGCUGAGACGCG